rnacentral:rRNA from 1 species
ACCGGCGCACGGGUGCGUAACGCGUAUGCAACCUACCUCUUACUGGGGAAUAGCCCGAAGAAAUUCGGAUUAAUACCCUAUAAUAUUUACUACUCGCAUGAGUUGGUAUCUUAAAACUCCGGUGGUUAUAGAUGGGCAUGCGGCCUAUUAGCUUGUUGGUGAGGUAACGGCUCACCAAGGCUACGAUAGGUAGGGGGCCUGAGAGGGUGACCCCCCACACUGGUACUGAGACACGGACCAGACUCC